rnacentral:lncRNA from 1 species
UAACACUCUCUGUUGUGAAAAAAUAAAACUUCCAGUUUACGUUUCUAAAAAUAGACAAAUCAAUUAUAACUGACCUUGAAAUGUCGUUUACGCAAAUAAUUUUGCGGAACGAAAUCUGUGUUUAAAAUCCAUUACACAAUAAGUUCGUUUCCCUUAUUUGUCAUCAGUCUGUAAGAUGCAUAAUCUCAUAGAAAUAGACUUGUCCAAAUGUGGACAGGUGGAAAGCACCUUGGAAGUAAAAGUUCUGAAUAUCAACAAGUCAUUUAGAAUUUUCUUGUUUCAUGGAUAAAAAAAAAAAUAUCGUCCAUUUGGAUAAAAAACGGGAAUGCAUGACACUAGAUUAUAAACCCGACAUUCUCGUUUUUUUCCGUGGACGAGUCUAUUACGUUUUUGACACGUGUGUUGAAACUUAUUUUCG